rnacentral:lncRNA from 1 species
CCCAUUUUAUCCCAUUUUACCCCGGUUUAUCCCAUUUUAUCCCAUUUUAUCCCAUUUUAUCCCAUUUUAUCCCAUUUUACCCCGGUUUAUCCCAUUUUACCCCAUUUUAUCCCAUUUUAUCCCGUUUUUUCCCAUUUUUUCCCGUUUUUUCCCGUUUUUUCCCGUUUUUCCCGGUUUGGCCGCCGUACAUUCAGCGUUUGUCGCGGGUUUAUGGCUCAGGGCAGUGCAAAAACACCUCGGAAAUCUCAAUUUUCUUUUUAUUUUUUUGUGCUGUUGGGUUAAUUUUAUUUUUUUUUUAAUUUUUAUUUUUUUUUAUUCCUACUUUUUUUACCUUUUUUUAAAAUAUUUUUCAUUUUUUUCUCUUCCUCUCUCUCACCACAACUUCCCUUUGUCCAUUCAUUCCCUAGAAACAAAAAUUUGGUUUUUUGGGGUUUUUUUUCACCUUUUUUUUUGUUUUUUUUUUUUUCCUUUUUUUUGGGUUUUUUUUUCAGUUUUUUUUGUUUUUUUUUUUUUUCUUUCUUCCUCUCUUUUUCACAUCCCAACUGAAAAAAUAAACCCGACGCCGCUCUCCACCCCGUGGGACGCGAAAGGGAAUCCAAAAAUUUGGAUUUUUUAACAAAAAGUGCUUCUUACUUCAAGUGCUUUGGACCGAGGAGAGAAACUUCCUUUUUUUGUUGUCAUUUUUGUCAAAAUUCCAAACCAAUAACCGGGAUAAAAUCAAAAUAAAUGUUGUGAAAACCCAACUUUGGCAUUAAAGGAUUAAAUAAUUUUUUUGUGUGUUGGGGGGGAAGUUUCCCUCCAUCCCUUUUUUUUUUUUUUUUUGGAAUAUAACGAGGAAAAAUCAUCGCCAAAAAAAUCAGAAUAAAAAAUAAAAUUAAACCCGCCGCCCCCACCCCCCCCCGAAAAUUAAAAUAAAGCGAAAUAAAUGGAAUUUUUCCCAAAUAAUUGGAUUAUUAUUUCGAUUUUCAAGCUGUGCUGUCGGCGAGGACGAUGCGGGGCUGAAGGAGAACAAGACGGGGACGCCCAAAAUUCCCAAAAUUCCAAUCAGGAACUGCCCCAAAAUUCCCAAAAUUCCCAAAAGGCCAAUCAGGAACUGCCCCAAAAUUCCCAAAAUUCCCAAAAGGCCAAUCAGGAANNGCCCCAAAAUUCCCAAAAUUCCCAAAAGGCCAAUCAGGAACCGCCCCAAAAUUCCCAAAAUUCAAAGGCCAAUCAAAAACCUCCCAAAAUUUUGUCCCCCCCCCCCCGGGUGCGCCGCCGGAGCUUCGUCUCCCGAAAUUUUCGUGAUUAUUAAUUAAUAUUAAUUAAUAUUAAUUAUGGCGUUGAUUGUCUCAGAGCGGGGGGUGGGGGUUGGGCUUCGUCCUCCGAGAGUUAAAAAUGAAAAUCAAUUUAAAAAAAUGAGGGGAAAAGGUUAAAAAUUUAAAAAACAACCCAAAAAAAAGAGAGGAAAAGGUUAAAAAUUA